AGAGUUUGAUCCUGGCUCAGGACGAACGCUGGCGGCGUGCCUAAUACAUGCAAGUCGAGCGAGCUGAAUUCAAAGAUCCCUUCGGGGUGAUUUGUUGGACGCUAGCGGCGGAUGGGUGAGUAACACGUGGGCAAUCUGCCCUAAAGACUGGGAUACCACUUGGAAACAGGUGCUAAUACCGGAUAACAACAUGAAUCGCAUGAUUCAAGUUUGAAAGGCGGCGCAAGCUGUCACUUUAGGAUGAGCCCGCGGCGCAUUAGCUAGUUGGUGGGGUAAAGGCCUACCAAGGCAAUGAUGCGUAGCCGAGUUGAGAGACUGAUCGGCCACAUUGGGACUGAGACACGGCCCAAACUCCUACGGGAGGCAGCAGUAGGGAAUCUUCCACAAUGGACGCAAGUCUGAUGGAGCAACGCCGCGUGAGUGAAGAAGGUCUUCGGAUCGUAAAGCUCUGUUGUUGGUGAAGAAGGAUAGAGGCAGUAACUGGUCUUUAUUUGACGGUAAUCAACCAGAAAGUCACGGCUAACUACGUGCCAGCAGCCGCGGUAAUACGUAGGUGGCAAGCGUUGUCCGGAUUUAUUGGGCGUAAAGCGAGCGCAGGCGGAAUGAUAAGUCUGAUGUGAAAGCCCACGGCUCAACCGUGGAACUGCAUCGGAAACUGUCAUUCUUGAGUGCAGAAGAGGAGAGUGGAACUCCAUGUGUAGCGGUGGAAUGCGUAGAUAUAUGGAAGAACACCAGUGGCGAAGGCGGCUCUCUGGUCUGCAACUGACGCUGAGGCUCGAAAGCAUGGGUAGCGAACAGGAUUAGAUACCCUGGUAGUCCAUGCCGUAAACGAUGAGCGCUAGGUGUUGGGGACUUUCCGGUCCUCAGUGCCGCAGCAAACGCAUUAAGCGCUCCGCCUGGGGAGUACGACCGCAAGGUUGAAACUCAAAGGAAUUGACGGGGGCC
rnacentral:rRNA from 1 species